rnacentral:rRNA from 1 species
AUUGAACGCUGGCGGCAGGCCUAACACAUGCAAGUCGAACGGUAACAGGAAACAGCUUGCUGUUUCGCUGACGAGUGGCGGACGGGUGAGUAAUGUCUGGGAAACUGCCUGAUGGAGGGGGAUAACUACUGGAAACGGUAGCUAAUACCGCAUAACGUCGCAAGACCAAAGAGGGGGACCUUCGGGCCUCUUGCCAUCGGAUGUGCCCAGAUGGGAUUAGCUAGUAGGUGGGGUAACGGCUCACCUAGGCGACGAUCCCUAGCUGGUCUGAGAGGAUGACCAGCCACACUGGAACUGAGACACGGUCCAGACUCCUACGGGAGGCAGCAGUGGGGAAUAUUGCACAAUGGGCGCAAGCCUGAUGCAGCCAUGCCGCGUGUAUGAAGAAGGCCUUCGAGUUGUAAAGUACUUUCAGCGGGGAGGAAGGGAGCAAAGUUAAUACCUUUGCUCAUUGACGUUACCCGCAGAAGAAGCACCGGCUAACUCCGUG